AUUGAACGCUGGCGGCAUGCUUUACACAUGCAAGUCGAACGGUAACAGGGAGCUUGCUCCGCUGACGAGUGGCGAACGGGUGAGUAAUGCGUCGGAACGUGCCGAGUAGUGGGGAUAACGCAUCGAAAGGUGUGCUAAUACCGCAUACGAACUGAGGUUGAAAGUGGGGGACCUUCGGGCCUCACGCUAUUCGAGCGGCCGACGUCUGAUUAGCUAGUUGGUGAGGUAAAGGCUCACCAAGGCGACGAUCAGUAGCGGGUCUGAGAGGAUGAUCCGCCACACUGGGACUGAGACACGGCCCAGACUCCUACGGGAGGCAGCAGUGGGGAAUUUUGGACAAUGGGCGCAAGCCUGAUCCAGCCAUGCCGCGUGCAGGAUGAAGGCCUUCGGGUUGUAAACUGCUUUUGUACGGAACGAAAAGACUCCUUCUAAUAAAGGGGGUCCAUGACGGUACCGUAAGAAUAAGCACCGGCUAACUACGUACCAGCAGCCGCGGUAAAAC
rnacentral:rRNA from 1 species